rnacentral:rRNA from 1 species
GAUGAACGCUGGCGGCGUGCCUAAUACAUGCAAGUCGAGCGAACGGACGAGGAGCUUGCUUCUCUGAUGUUAGCGGCGGACGGGUGAGUAACACGUGGAUAACCUACCUAUAAGACUGGGAUAACUUCGGGAAACCGGAGCUAAUACCGGAUAAUAUUUUGAACCGCAUGGUUCAAUAGUGAAAGAGGGUUCUGCUGUCACUUAUAGAUGGAUCCCGGCUGGAUUAGCUAGUUGGUAAGGUAACGGCCUACCAAGGCGACGAUGCGUAGCCGACCUGAGAGGGUGAUCAGGCACACUGGAACUGAGACACGGUCCAGACUCCUACGGGAGGCAGCAGUUGGGAAUCUUGCGCAAUGGGCGGAAGGCUGACCGAGCCAAGCCGGGUGGGGGAAGAAAGUCUUCGGAUUGUAAAACCCUUUUAAUUGGGAAGAAAAUAAGUGUUAGGAAACGUUGCAGUUUUGACGGUACCCAAAGAAGAAGCCCCGGCUAACUUCGUG